rnacentral:rRNA from 1 species
UGGGGGAUAUUGCACAAUGGAGGAAACUCUGAUGCAGCAACGCCGCGUGAGGGAAGAAGGUCUUCGGAUUGUAAACCUUAGUAGUCAGGGACGAAAGAAAUGACGGUACCUGAAGAGUAAGCUCCGGCUAACUACGUGCCAGCAGCCGCGGUAAUACGUAGGGAGCGAGCGUUGUCCGGAUUUACUGGGUGUAAAGGGUGCGUAGGCGGGACUGCAAGUCAGACGUGAAAUACCGAGGCUUAACUUCGGGGCUGCGUUUGAAACUGUGGUUCUUGAGUGAAGUAGAGGCAGGCGGAAUUCCUAGUGUAGCGGUGAAAUGCGUAGAUAUUAGGAGGAACACCAGUGGCGAAGGCGGCCUGCUGGGCUUUAACUGACGCUGAAGCACGAAAGCAUGGGGAGCAAACAGGAUUAGAUACCCUGGUAGUCCAUGCCGUAAACGAUGAUAGCUAGGUGUGGGGGGACUGCACCCCUUCCGUGCCGCAGCAAACGCAAUAAGCUAUCCAGCCUGGGGAGUACGACCGCAAGGUUAGAAACUUGAAAUGAAUUGACGGGGUCAUAGCUGUUUCCG